GGUGUAUUAGUUUAAUGGUAGAACCUAACGCUACGGUCGUUAUAAUACGAGUUCAAAUCUUGUAUGCACCU
rnacentral:tRNA from 1 species